AUUGAACGCUGGCGGCAUGCUUUACACAUGCAAGUCGAACGGCAGCACGGGGGCAACCCUGGUGGCGAGUGGCGAACGGGUGAGUAAUAUAUCGGAACGUACCCGGAAAUGGGGAGUAACGUAGCGAAAGUUACGCUAAUACCGCAUAUGCCCUAAGGGGGAAAGCGGGGGAUUCGCAAGAACCUCGCGUUUUCGGAGCGGCCGAUAUCGGAUUAGCUAGUAGGUGAGGUAAAGGCUCACCUAGGCGACGAUCCGUAGCUGGUCUGAGAGGACGACCAGCCACACUGGAACUGAGACACGGUCCAGACUCCUACGGGAGGCAGCAGUGGGGAAUUUUGGACAAUGGGCGCAAGCCUGAUCCAGCCAUGCCGCGUGAGUGAAGAAGGCCUCGGUUGUAAG
rnacentral:rRNA from 1 species